GGCCGGAAGGACCGCACACGUGGUUCUGUUCUGAUGUGAGGAUUUCAACCCAGGGAGCCUCAGUAAGGCCGGGAGACUGCCUCCCCAGGAACACUGGCUCCCUAAGGCGGCAGAGGACUCUACUGAGGUCUGAAUGUGUCCCAAGGCAGUGGCGUGAGGAGGUGGGUCUCCUCCUGUGAUGAGUUGGAUUAGUACCCUCGCGAAGGAGCGUUCACACAGUGUCUGCUCUGUUUCUCUGUCCCCUUCUACCAUGUGAAGCUGCAGAGGAGAGAGCAGCCUUGAGCACAUUUUGAACCUGAAGGCAUCUGUUUCUAUUGUCUGCACCCCAGCCCCCACAUUCUUGACGGAACUCAUAACCCGGUAAUAUCCUGCAGCAGGUCCUUUAUCACCUGGAGGAGUGCCCCAGACGCAGUGAAUUCAUCUGUAGUAGCUAAUCCCAGGCAGGCUCACUUUGCUUUGCCGGAAUCCAGGCUGCUGCUGU
rnacentral:lncRNA from 1 species